rnacentral:rRNA from 1 species
CCUACGGGAGGCAGCAGUGGGGAAUAUUGCACAAUGGGCGAAAGCCUGAUGCAGCAACGCCGCGUGAGCGAUUAAGGCCUUCGGGUCGUAAAGCCCUGUCCUCAAGGAAGAUAAUGACGGUACGUGAGGAGGAAGCCCCGGCUAACUACGUGCCAGCAGCCGCGGUAAUACGUAGGGGGCUAGCGGUAUCCGGAAUUACUGGGCGUAAAGGGUGCGUAGGUGGGUUCUUAAGUCAGAGGUGAAAGGCUGCGGCUCAACCGUAGUAAGCCUUUGAAACUGGGGAACUUGAGUGCAGGAGAGGAGAGUGGAAUUCCUAGUGUAGCGGUGAAAUGCGUAGAUAUUAGGAGGAACCCCAGUUGCGAAGGCAGCUCUCUGGACUGUAACUGACACUGAGGCACGAAAGCGUGGGGAGCGAACAGGAUUAGAUACCCGUGUAGUC